CUCGUUAUUGAUACGGAGCCAGAGGAGGAGGAGGAGGAAAUGUGGGAGCCUUCAGGCCAGCCUGAUGUCACUUACGUGGACUCUGAGUCGGAGGAGCCACAGUAUAUAAUUAUUGACAGUGAGGAGGAAGGGGAGAAGAAGCCCUCUCCCCAACUUGG